rnacentral:pre_miRNA from 1 species
UGAGAACUGAAUUCCAUAGGCUGGCGAGUGAGGGCAGCCUUGGGGUCUAGUUCUCUUG